rnacentral:rRNA from 1 species
AUGGUCUCUAAGACAAGAAAAGGCAGCACUAGUGGACUGCCUAGUGAAUGGCUCAUGAGCAAUACUGCUGUCUCGCUUGCAAGUGUACUGCAUGGCAUGGGCCAAUUCUCUAUGGUGAGCAUUUCACGAUCUUCUGUGGUCUUGAACAUCAGGCUACACAUCUCACAAGCCAGGGUGGUGCAUGGGCUAUUCCAAAGGGUGGUUACAGAGGAAAAUACUGUAAAGGACUCUCUCGAUGCUGCUUUUACACAAUUCCUAACGCCUCUCAGUCCUACUUCCACGGCUUGUUGGGCCACCUGA